UACGUAGGGUGCAAGCGUUGCCCGGAUUUAUUGGGCGUAAAGGGCGCGUAGGCGGCUCUGCACGUUCGUUGUGAAAUCGCCCGGCCCAACUGGGCGGGGUCAGCGGAUACGGCAGAGCUUGAGCAAGCUAGGGGGCAAUGGAAUUCCCGGUGUAGUGGUGGAAUGCGUAGAUAUCGGGAGGAGCACCAGUGGCGAAGGCGGUUGCCUGGGGCUUUGCUGACGCUGAUGCGCGAAAGCGUGGGGAGCGAUCCGG
rnacentral:rRNA from 1 species